UACAGAGGGGGCAAGCGUUAUUCGGAAUUAUUGGGCGUAAAGGGCGCGUAGGCGGCUUGGCAAGUGGAAGGUGAAAUCCCUCGGCUUAACCGAGGAACUGCCCUCCAAACUGCUUCGCUUGAGACCGGGAGAGGUGAGUGGAAUUCCCAGUGUAGCGGUGAAAUGCGUAGAUAUUGGGAGGAACACCAGUGGCGAAGGCGGCUCACUGGACCGGUACUGACGCUGAGGUGCGAAAGCGUGGGGAGCAAACAGG
rnacentral:rRNA from 1 species